GGGGGACGGAAGCACAAAAAUGGCGACGGCGGCGAGGGAUCUGCGAGAGGCAAGGGGGCCGGCGGCAAAAAAAAUACCGAAGAGAGAGAGAGAGAGAGAGAGAGAGAGAGAGAGAGAGAGAGAGAGAGAGAGAGAGAGAGAGAGAGAGAGAGAUCUGGCACUUGGCGAGCCAGAGGUUGAAGACGAGCCAAGUGGGCAGCGGCCAGGUGAUGCUGAGAAGCAGGAAUAGGAUGGCGGCGAGCUGGAGUGGGAGUGGAGCGAUAGCUCCCUGCUCGACGGCGAGCUUAGAGAGAGAGAGGAGAGGCAGAGACAAGGGCAGUCGUCGAGGGAAUGAGAGAGAUUUCUUUUUUCUAUAGAUGAAAGUUCCUUCCCACAGCAGCCGGCCAGGCCAUCCACGUCAGCUCAAAAUAUUCCAACCAUCCGAUCGAAAAUCAGCGGUACACGCUCCUCCCACCUCUCAUGUACUAUUGCAAGAAAUAUCUUAAACUCCAGAGUCUUCUCGUCUCUCCUCGAUGCUGCAUAGUUCACCAGCUCCCCUCGUCGGGCCCGGCUGCGGCACUCCAUGAGCCCCACCCGCCACGGCCUUCGACGCACGCCUAGCUCCUCGCCACGCCGGCACCCUCAGCCGCCGGUGGAGGCGUGGACUCUGGCGCGGACGCGCUGAUCUCCCGGCUCCGCCUGGCCUCUGCGCCGUCCGUGGCAUCCCGUGCCGCCGCACUGCUAGAGGAGCUGGUGGGUUCCAUGGCGGCACUGCAGCUCGAGGAUGAGUUGUAGCUGAUUCGGUGCAGCUCGUCGACGGCGGCGAGCUAUCUUCCGCGGCGCGGUGUGGACACGCGUGCAGCCACAUCGAGAAGAUAGUGCGACUAACGCGGCUACCUGGCGGACGCGACGCGCUGCCGAGGUCCGCGGUUAUCCUUCCGACAACUGCCUCCCGACGUCCCCACCGGCGCGUCCUCCUCCAUUUCCAAAGCCUCCGCCUGUGAGCACACGCCCAGACACCACUGUUAGAUCCUCGUUCUGGGCCGCCGCGGCCUCGGCCGUCACGGCGUACGCCGCACCCUCCCCGCCGACCAGCGCCGCCGCGCUCGGGAGGCCAAGCUAGAGGAACUCGCAUCCGCGCGGCCGUGUUCCUGGAGUUGUCGCCGGUGCUGCAGUUGGCGCCCCCGUGGAAGGCCGUCUGCCUACUACCCGAGCACAUGCUCGUUGUAUAUACGACGAAUUGUACAACUACAGGGUCCAAGUUCAGACCUUUUGGGCUCCCUCUUAACACACGAACGGCCAGCUUGACAGGGACAACAAUUGUGCCGAAAGGGGUCUGGAUCGAGCUCCCCAAACGCAAUUGCCCCUAUCCUUCAUGCAGUUUCAUUUGAUGCCAAAGGAGCCACAGCAAGUCAGCAACAACAUCCGUGCAGCAGUGAGUUGCAUCUUACACUUCAUGUUUUCUUUGUUCGCGGCCGUUCUUUUGUGCCUCUCUGAUGCAACGCAGCAAGACCAGCAUACAGCUGUACUGCUGCAACUCCACCCCCUGCUGGCAACAAGUACUUCGUCCAUGUAUGAUUUACGCCAUGUGUUUCAUGGUUUGCUUGUGCAACCUGUGCUUCGGCCAUGAAGGAUGCAGGCUAUGUGUUUGAUGGUUUGCCUUUGCAACACUGACCAAUUAACCAUGCUAAGAUUUAGCUAACAAGGAGUCCUAUUUGAUGAAAAGAAGACACAUUCAAGCUACUUGCCUUGUCUAUGAGAUUUUCUGGCCAAGAUUUGUACCACUAGCUCUAGCUAAGGAGAGUUCGUGGUUGUAAAGAUGCAUAAUUAUAGCAGCAGAUAAAGGAAAAGGGAGGUUGCUGCUAAGCUCCUCCAGUUUGUUAAAAUCAUUAUUUAUGUCAAUCUUUAUUAAACUAACCCCACACAUUUGGUUUUACCUAACAGCUCUGAUUUUAACUACUCUUUACCUACAUUUAUUUUCUUAGCUCUUAGUUUUCAUGGACAUGGAGAUACUAUUUGUGGUACUAAUUCUAGAAAGGUCUAGAUUGAAUGGAUAAGUUCACAUCUUGCUUGAUCUUUGCAGAAGGCACCAGUAGGACAAGCCUAACAUGUAGCUCAGGUGUGCAUCUCCUUCUUUCUGAUUCGAUUCUGGUUUGUAUGGCCAGGACAAAGGAUCGAGUACAUAUUUUCUUUAUUUACCUGCUUCUCUUGUGUUUAGUUAAUCCUCUACCCGUACUUUUCUGCAUUUGCAUACUCUAUUUCAGCAGUACAAGGUGGAAUGAUUGACUGCAGCUAGAUCUGUAGUGCGCAAUGUGGUGCUGUGUGGAGAUGCAAUGGUAGCAGACAGAAAAGCUGCUUACUCAGCUGAUUGUGUGAAACCAGGUACAAAAGAGUGUGAAAACAGGUGUGCAAGGGUGUGAAAUCGGGAAAAAAAGUAUCCUUUGUAUGAUCACUGACAACACGGUUCACUACUUACUCGCAACUAUUUGUGUUCCAAGUAUGAAAACAUUGACAAGUUAUGCUUUCUCUUGUCAUGCUGAUCAUAUAUAUGGUCUGUCAUAGAAGACUUCUUGGCCCAUGAUGACCUUGCACACGUCUCACAAAUUAUUCCAGAUCCGUAGCAUACAAGUGGACUUGUGCUUUUUCCAGGUUCUCCUCUCACUGUUUAUUCCGACUGUAUCCUCUUCUGGUAAUUUUUUUACCAAUAAUUUUUUCAAACGAUUCUGUGUAAAGCCAAGAAGCCUUGCUCUUCAGAUAAAAUUUUAACAUUCCAUGAUCA